ensembl:lncRNA
UCCAGAUCUCCUCAUAUCAGCUGUUUUGCUUAAGGUUCCCGGAAUCAAGCAAACAAAUGAAAAUCUCUGUGUUUGCCUGAAAAACACGGGAUCCACAUACGGCUCCAGGAGCACAGAAAAGGCAAAAGGAGCAGAGCGUGCAUGCAUUUUGUGGUUUUGCACCUUACACACCGAUCCCUUCUGUGCAAAGGACUGCAGAAAUGCUGGGCAUGGGGCACGGGACCUGUGGCUGGAGCAGAUAGGUGGUAACACACCGGCUCGGUGGGCAAUAUCCUUCAUCCUUUAGCAUGGUGCAGGAGGGAAAUCUCCCAGCUCCUGCUCCUUGGUCCCAGUUUGCCAUCCUGGAGGAGCAGCGAAGGAGUGCCGCAGCAAGUGUGCGUGCAUUAUUUGUUCUUGCAGGUUUGGGGGAAAGCAGCAGAAGAGAGGAGGCGGGGGAGAGGCAGGGCGUCAACAGCGAGAGAAUAUUAAAUAGCCUCCAGUAAAACGAGAGGUGGUUGAGAACCCACUCCAGGCUCUCCGAAUGGGUAAUGUGCGGCUGCUGCUAACGUUACGGUAAGCAGAGAGUGUUCUGGGAUCUGCCUAUCGACCCGGGCGCGCUGCCUUCAUGGCACAGAGUCUAGCGAAAUCAUUCACUCCCUGCACGGCGCCUUUUCCUUCAAUGGAGAGUGCACCCAUUAGGGAGCCUGGAGAGCAGCAGCGUUAUGAAUCACUAUCGAGUCUCGCCUUGUAAUUUUUUUUUUUUUCCCUUUAAAUGGAAGCUUUUUAAUCUGACGUCGUGGCACUUUUGGGGGUUUAGAACGAAGCUGAUUGCUGCUGCUGCUGCAGCUUGGUCUGCUGUUACCAAGAAACCAAAUAUCACAAUAAAGCUGUUUGUUAAGUCCAUACAAAGCGGCUGGUCAGGAGAGCAGAGGUCCAUCAGACCCCACCUGGGCCACUCAUAACAGGGACCGUGGUCCCCAGCCCAGGCAGGAGAAGCAGAGAGAUUUCCAACCCAAGCCCUGAGCACACUCACGGCUCUUAAACAAGCCUAGUCUGUAGUUUCAUCUGACCAUCAACGUCCUCGGAAAGUGUAAAUAGAAAAGUGACUGACAGCGGCUUUGUCCCCGUGUCUAAGAAAUCUCCCGCUAAAAUAGGCUCGGAAAGGAGCCAACUGAAAGUGAAAUGCUAAAGAAGGAAGCACAAAGAUUGCUGGUACUUAAUAUAAAUUUACAUCAUAAAGGCCAUUUCAGGCUCCAGUGUCUCAGAGACGUGCCUUCAUUUGGGACUGACUUCAGUUUCAUGUUAAUUUGCUGUAGUUAAAGCUACCUAAGUGGAUGUGCAAUGCCAAGCCUUUCAUUUCUUGAUGAUAAUUUCUAAAAGCUAUUAUUGAUCCAUUUGGUUUGAAAGCUUGCUGCAGCUCGAGGAAGCUGGGGAGAUGUCUGCUCUGCAGCACAGAUGAGACAUAAGUGGUUUCUAAAACAAUUUUGACCUUUCUUAGCCACGGCGGGUGUGAGGAUAACAAGGGCAAAUCUUCAGGCUUCAGACCCAUUUUUGGGUUGGAGGCUUCACAUUACCUAAAAGUUGAGGAAAGCUGCUUGGUCCUGGAGUUAAAGCUGUUGUUCAAUGUGGGCGCACACACGUGCACACAGCGCUCCUUAAACUCUGCCUCUCUCUUGUUUGCUGCUUUCCAUCCCACGGGGGAAAAACAAACCAGGUCCUCACUAAGCAGAAAAGGCUUUUUUAUUUAUUUACCUAUUUUUCUGUGUGUGGAGAAAGUUUAAAACCUGUUUCUCUUCUUCCUUG